rnacentral:rRNA from 1 species
CCUACGGGUGGCAGCAGUGAGGAAUAUUGGUCAAUGGACGCAAGUCUGAACCAGCCAAGUAGCGUGCAGGAUGACGGCCCUCCGGGUUGUAAACUGCUUUUAGUUGGGAAUAAAAGGGGGCUCGUGAGCCCCGUAUUGUAUGUACCAUCAGAAAAAGGACCGGCUAAUUCCGUGCCAGCAGCCGCGGUAAUACGGAAGGUCCGGGCGUUAUCCGGAUUUAUUGGGUUUAAAGGGAGCGUAGGCCGGCUUUUAAGUCAGCUGUGAAAGUCCGCGGCUCAACCGUGGAAUUGCAGUUGAAACUGGAGGCCUUGAGUGCAGUUGAGGUAGGCGGAAUUCGUGGUGUAGCGGUGAAAUGCUUAGAUAUCACGAAGAACUCCGAUUGCGAAGGCAGCCUACUAAACUGCCACUGACAUUGAUGCUCGAAAGUGUGGGUAUCAAACAGGAUUAGAUACCCGAGUAGUC